rnacentral:rRNA from 1 species
CUUGCCUCAAAUAAGAGGUCCAGCCUGCCCAGUGACACUGUUCAACGGCCGCGGUAUCCUAACCGUGCGAAGGUAGCGUAAUCACUUGUUCUUUAAAUGAGGACUAGUAUGAAAGGCAUCACGAGAGUCAUACUGUCUCCUUUUUCCAAUCAGUUAAACUAAUCUCCCCGUGAAGAAGCGAGGAUAAUUCUAUAAGACGAGAAGACCCUAUGGAGCUUUAAACAAAUAACACUUGCCUAUCCCCUUCUUUAAUUUCAGAAAAAUUUCCCACUUUGGCAUGAUACUUAUAAGUUUUUGAUUGGGGUGAUCACGGAACAAAAAACAACCUCCGCAAUGAAAGACACUCCCUAACUAAGUUAAGAACUUCCGCUCUAUACAUCAACAAAUUGACACUAAUUGACCCAAUAUAUUGAUCAAUGAAC